UACGUAGGGUGCAAGCGUUGUCCGGAAUUAUUGGGCGUAAAGAGCGUGUAGGCGGCCCGAUUAGUCCGCUGUGAAAGUCCAGGGCUCAACCCUGGAAUGCCGGUGGAUACUGUCGGGCUAGAGUCCGGAAGGGGCGAGUGGAAUUCCUGGUGUAGCGGUGAAAUGCGCAGAUAUCGGGAAGAACACCCGUGGCGAAGGCGGCUCUCUGGGACGGUACUGACGCUGAGACGCGAAAGCGUGGGGAGCGAACCGG
rnacentral:rRNA from 1 species